GGCGCGCGCCCUUCGGCCGACGCCGCCGACGACGGUGCACCAGCGUGGCACCUUCCUUGACCUCCUCGACGCCGCCUUCAACGCGCCCUCAAGCCGCAGAGGGUGCUCACAGAGAACUGCUCCGCCACGUACUCCGGCUCCGGCAACCCCUGCCUCCACUUCUUCUUCCAGGUUGUCCCCAACACGCCGCCCGAGCGCGUGCACGAGCUCCUAGCCACCGCCUGGAAACAGGAAACCCUCACGAAGACCUCACACGCUCGCCCUCGCCCUCCACCGCCGCUGCCGCUGCGACCCCCUCGCCCGUGCUCUACAUCCCUGCAUCCCCUUCCACUCCCCCGUCUCCUCGAGCUCGCGGCAGCCGAUAUCCUGUCCGCCGUCCUUGCCCCACCUACCCCGUCAUCUUCCACCAAUCCUGCCGACGACUAGCUGUCGCGAACCACCAGCAGUAGCAGGCGUUGCGCGGCGGCACAACAUGAACAGCACGAGCAGUGGAAUCUCCCUGCCGACGGGAUCCUCUUCCCUUUGGUCGGAUCCGCCUCCUGUGACGGGAUCCACCCCUCCUAAAGCCAGAUGCCUUGCAGCACAAUUUGCAAAACUGCAUUGUCAAUCUUUGAGGCCUGGCUGGACUACAUGGUAGGUUAUUGGCUUUGUUUCUGUUCUACCUCAAAGACUGUUGCUGAAAUUUUUGUUAACUUACUUGUAAUGGUGUCAUUGACUGUUUCAGAAGAGAAUUCUAUUACUGAAUCGGGAGGGAAUGUGGUGUCUCUUCGAAAAUCUUUGGUUUUUAAUAAUUUCCUUCUAGGUUGAGGUAAAUUGUACCUAAACUGUGAACUGGAGCAACAACCCUUAAUGAUUGGUGAAUGACAAAGCUAAACUGAAGAAGUGAUACAAUUUUGGAUCAUGCCUCUUAGAUGCCCUAGGUGUAUCAAAAAAUGAAUGGAGUCAUGUCACAUUUCUUUACUUAGAUGAAAUAAACAGUCAAGAUGAAGAACAUAAUAUUUGCAUCUGAUAGACAGAACAUCUAUUUUUAAUAGCUUCACUCUUGCUAUUCCAUUGCGUACCCGACAAAAUUGCAUCUGAUUCAGGAGUUAGAACUGUUACAAACUUUUGCGGCAUGGCCAAUGCUGACGAGACGAAGCUAUGGAAUAAUGGAAUCUACCCACAGUGCUACACUACUACGUGCAUCUCAACCAGAUGACCACUGGACGCUGCCUCCUUGCCGCCAUGAUUCAGUGGCUCACCUUUCCUAGAGCCAAUGGAACUGAACUGAACUGCACCUAUUUUGUUUUGCAGCUGUUGCAUAAACUAUAAACAAAGUACAAGAUACAUCGGAUUAUGUCUACAACAUUGGAUGCCAAAGCGUCAUCUUCUAAGGUAAGAUCCCCAUAAUCUGGCUAUGCGUCCAAUUUUAUUUCAUGGAACUAUAUCUUGUUUCACAUUUUAUCCCUACACGUUUGAAUGCAACUACUAUUUGACUAGCAUGCCUAAUAAUCACCAUGUCGUUCUGGAGUGGAGAGGACACACCGGGGAGAGGUGGAUCCCUAAUGCAACUUGAACUUAGCAUACUUCAUGUAUACAGGCUCAUAAAUUGGACCCUCUGCAACUAUGUAUUGUACAGGGGCAGAAAUAGUGGUUAUUAACCAACUAACCCCCCAGUCAAUCAAGGACUCCUUGUACAAUUUCAAUUCUAAAUUUCCUGCAAGGUGAUAGAUUUAGUUGUGCAAAAGUCAAAAGCACCAUGGACUUGCUCUUCAACAUGGAACACUAAACCAAAUGUAGAGGCACAUGCCCAAGUUUGUUUGGUUGUAAUACAUAGCAUAGAAGAUCAGUUGUGCUACCUCCAGGUAAUUUCUCAAUUAGAUCUGUAUGGAGCUUUGAUAUUUCAAGGGGUUGUUUUUUGUGUGUGUUUGUGCUUGGCCAAAGAUUAUUUGAGAAUUGGGUUAUAUUUACCUAACAUGUUUGCUAGCACAUCAAGACAAAAAAAAGGGUGCUAAUUAUAACAAUUUUGUCUGGAGCGUGAACAUGUAUGUCUUUUUGUUUACACGAAAAUAUCAAUCGUGAAUGCCCUUGUCUUAUGGGUGCAAUAAAUAAAAAUAUACUACUUUUAUCAUCUUACAAAAUCUAGACACAUCGAGAGGGCAAUUAAAAUGUGGGAGGACACAUCGAGAUGGAGAAAAGAGUUUUGUGUUUGAACAAUCCUUGAGAGGAUCACAAUGAUUAGAACUUGUGAUCUUUGCUUAAUACAUCGAGUUCUUGUGCUGCUCAAUAUUUUAAGCUCUUUCCGAUGGGAUUUUAAGCUUCAUAUGAACCGGAUGCCAAACGGAGUCGACCGUUAGGAGGGAGGGUUACUAUUAUCUUGAAUUCUUGAUCAUCUUAGACACUGCAGAUCUUUGGCAACUAUAAAGGAUCUUCUAAAAAGGGAUGAAGCUGUAGUUUUCGAAGACACGCCUCGCUCUAGAAAUCCUUAGUGCAUGUCUAUUUUUUCUUUUCAAUUUGCCAGCUGAUAUUUUUUGUUUAUCUACAUGUAGUUUUUGAUUGUUUUUAAAAGGAGGAUCGAACUAGAACAACUGCUAUAGACCAACUCUUUUUUCUGUUUCAAUACAAAUGGAACUAGAUCCCCUCCUGGAAGUGGUGAUGUGUGCCGUGAGGUACUCAAUGAAGGAGAUCUCUUGUACUGGUAUAAUUCCUCUUAUGUAAACGUGUGAUGUGGAAAGCAAGAUCCCCACUCAAGCAGAUAUAUUGUAAUGUUAAAUCCAUUGCUGGAACAUACUACCUAUAUUACCCAGUCCAUUUGUUCAAAAUAGAUUAAGCUAUAUAUUGUGGGUUCUAAUUUGUUGACUGUCAUUCUAAUAUUUCUAUUUGUUUCAAGCAUACCUAGGGUGUUACAACUGAAGAAUUUCUUGUACUAAUACUUGAAGAUAUGGAUGUAUGUUGUCUGCUUGUUAAAUCAAAAGUACUUCAACUCA